CUGUAUCAUCGCGUUGUUGCCGCCCGUGGUUCCGUAGCGGCCCCUCCCCGCUCUGUGGCCGUUGGGCGCGUUACGCAGCCGUGACGGCGGCUCCCUCUCGCUCAGGGACGCGGCGGGACUCGAGCUGCAGGCGGGACCAUGUCGCGCUACGGCCGUUACGAGACCAAGGUGUACGUGGGGAACCUGGGCACGGGCGCGGGCAAAGGCGAGCUGGAGAGAGCGUUCAGCUACUAUGGGCCGCUGAGAACCGUGUGGAUCGCCAGGAACCCGCCGGGGUUCGCCUUCGUGGAAUUCGAAGACCCGAGGGAUGCCGAAGAUGCUGUGCUCGGCCUCGAUGGGAAGUACGUUUAGUUUAGAUAAAUCUGUGGCUCCAGGGUCGAGUGGCACGUGUCGACGGGCAUGCCCGUGCUCCCGUUACGACAGGCCUCCCUGCAACGCGCCCCUUUGACCAAUGAAGAUGCUAUGAGUGUGGUGAGAAAGGCCACUAUGCCUACGACUGCCAUCGCUACAGCCGCCGCAGGAGGAGCAGGUCCCGGUCUCGAUCCCGCUCCAGGUCCCGAGGAAGGAGAUAUUCUCGCUCACGCAGUCGUAGUCGUGGUAGGAGGUCCAGGUCUGCUUCCUACCGCAGGUCCAGGUCAAUCUCUCCUCGUAGGUAUAGAUCAUUUUCACCUCGCAGAUCACGGUCUGGCUCCUUAAGGAGAUCAAGAUCUAGGUCCAGAUCACGCUCAAGGUCUCGAUCCGUUGUAUGGCCUCGAAGCAGGUCUGGGUCCCAUGGUAGAUCUAAAUCUGGCUUACCUGCUAAAAGUCGCUCAAAGUCCAGAUCACCAUCUCCAAAGAGAAGUCAUUCACCAUCAGGAAGCCCUUGAAGGAGGAAUGCAUGUCCUGAAAGAAUGGAUUCAAGUUAAAAGGUUAAAGUUUAAGAAGAAGAUUUAUUUUGUUUACAUUAUUAUAAGGGAUUUUGUGGUGUCUUUAUAAACGCAAGGGCUUAGUCCUAGAAGGUUGUUUCUAUUGCCUAACAGCAGGCAUGAAUUUGGAUCUUUUAAAAGUAGACUAAUGCAGAACUCCUUUGUUGUGUUAACGUUCAGUGAUCUGGAAAUAUAGGGCUUUUUGUAUUUGGUGCAUUGGAAUAAACAGUGCAUUUCUAACUAAGAGA